rnacentral:misc_RNA from 1 species
GCAAACUUGGUCAUUUAGAGGAAGUAAAAGUCGUAACAAGGUUUCCGUAGGUGAACCUGCGGAAGGAUCAUUAUAGAAUUGUUCGAAUUCCAUACGGACGAUUUUCUAAAAAUCCGUAUCCACACCGGUAGGGCUGGCCUGAGCAAUCAGUCGGCCCUUGCCGUAGGGUUCCUUUUCUUUUUCUUCGGGAAAAGAACUGGUUCCUGUCUGACCCAUGCCUAUAAUUUUUUAUUGUCUGAACUUUUAUAUAAAAUAUAUAAAAACUAAAACAACUUUCAACAACGGAUCUCUUGGCUCUCGCAUCGAUGAAGAACGCAGC